UGAGCCACCAUACCUGGCCGCUGUUUCAUAUUAUAUAUGAAACAAGUUGAGAAAUCAAAUCUAAUAAAAAUAAGUGGACCUCAGUUCACUUUUGGACAGCAGAAAAAGCAAACUGUGGUAAGCAGAAUUCUACAAUGGCACCCUGGUUCCCACCCCUUGGUGUACAUACUCUGCACAGUCCCCUUUGAAGUGAGCAGGACCUGUGAAUAUGAUGGGAUAAUCACUCCUGUGAUGACAUUAUAUGAUUCCAUUCCCCUCCUGGCUUUGAAGAAGUGAGCUGCCGUGUCAUGAGAACACCAGGUGGCUAGGACCUGAAGAUAGCCUCUAAGGAGCUGAGGAUGUCACCCUGCUGACACCCAGCAAGGAAAUGGGUACCUCAGUCCUGUCGCUGUAAGGAAUUGAAACCUGCCAACAACCUGAAUGAGCUUGGCAGAGGACUCUGAGCUUGCGAUGAGAACACAUCCCCAGCUUGAAAUCAAAUCGACAUAUUGAUUUUGGCAUUGUGAGAUACUGAGCUGAGAACGCAGUUCAGCUGUUCCUGGACUUUUGAACCACAGAACUGAGAUGAUAAAUGGUGUUUUAAGUUGCUAAGUUUGUGGUCGUUUGUUUACAGUAAUUGUAAACUAAUACACAAGUGUAAGUUUGUUUUCUUAAAGAAGAAAUAAAACGGGGAAGGAGGUCAGAAGUGAUGGCGCAGCCAUAGAGAUGGAGAAUCUUCAAUCUAACAACAAAAAAGAAGAUGAAAAUGAAAGACCACAGAUUAUCUGGAGUGGAUAUAGCUGAGCCUGGAUUCUAAGCAUGAUAAAUGCAUGAAGAGUCUUUCAAAUAUCAUUGGCUAUGACUAGUACUGAUUGUUUCUCAAAGGAGAAAGAUAGCAUCAAACUUGAGAAUUACAAAUCUAUUUUUAGAAUUUGUCACCUGUCUGUGUUUAGUGAGGGUAUGUUGAGAAUACUUAAGUUAAAAACCAGGAUGUUGGCCCUUUGAGAGAUACCAGAUGUCAGUAAAUCCAGCCCACCGCCCACUACUGUAGGGCUCAUUCACUGAAAUGGUUUUUAUGUUUAAAAAAAAUAAAAAGAAACAUAUUUUAGGACACGUGAAAAUUAUGUGAAAUUCAAAUUUCAGUGUCCAUAAAGCCUUAUUGUAACAUGGUCAUACUCAAUAGCUUUCACGCUGCAAGAAAAUGGCUGAGUAGCUGUGACAUGCAUACAGCCUGCAAAGCCUAAAAUAGUUCCCCUCUGGCCCUUUACAGAAAGUUUGUCAACCCUGCACUGUAGAAAGAAGGGAAGGACAGACGCAUUUCACAUAUUCUCAUAGCACAAGUUAACUUUAUGCAUUGGCAAGGAAUGUUUUUAUGUUCAAACCAGUCUUUUACCUUCAUGACCUCUAAGAUUUUUUAAACCAGUUAGAAACACAGUAAUCAACUUGCAGGGAAAGAAGUGAUGUCAUCACAAGGAAAUGGUGGUAGAAUGCGGGAAGACUGGAAAUUCUAUUAAUAACUUAAAAUUUUAAAAAUAAGAAAAUACCAACUAUCAUCUGCAUAACCUUAUACAAUUUUGUCUGAUUAAGUUUUUCAGUUUCUUAAUAUUAUAGAAGGAUCCUAUGAUCAAUUCUCCUUAAAGAGUAUUAAUUUUGCCUUUGUGAAGUAUUGUUACGCCUCUUUUUAGAUGGCAGAAAGGACCAUGAUGUUUAUUUUGUUCCCCAUGUUGCCUUACCUUCCAGCAAAUUCCAACUUACAGUCUGAAUUGAGUCUGUAUAGAUUUCCAUUGUUAAACUGCAGUUCUCAGCUUAACCCCAGUUCUAUUUAUAUUCUUUCUCUAACUGGUUUCCAAUCAGUUUUUUCUUAAUAUAAUUUUGAAUUGCCCA